rnacentral:rRNA from 1 species
UACGAAGGGGGGCUAGCGUUGCUCGGAAUCACUGGGCGUAAAAGCGCACGUAGGCGGAUCUUUAAGUCAGAGGUGAAAUCCUGGAGCUCAACUCCAGAACUGCCUUUGAUACUGAGGAGCUCGAGUCCGGGAGAGGUGAGUGGAACUCCGAGUGUAGAGGUGAAAAUUCGUAGAUAUCGGGAGGAACACCGGUGGCGAAGGCGGCGACCUGGGACGAUACUGACGCUGAGGUGCGAAAGCGUGGGGAGCAAACAGG